rnacentral:rRNA from 1 species
AGUGAACGCUGGCGGUAGGCCUAACACAUGCAAGUCGAACGGCAGCACAGGAGAGCUUGCUCUCUAGGUGGCGAGUGGCGGACGGGUGAGGAAUACAUCGGAAUCUGCCCAGUCGUGGGGGAUAACGUAGGGAAACUUACGCUAAUACCGCAUACGACCUUCGGGUGAAAGAGGGGGAUCGCAAGACCUCUCGCGAUUGGAUGAGCCGAUGUCGGAUUAGCUAGUUAGCGGGGUAAUGGCCCACCAAGGCGACGAUCCGUAGCUGGUCUGAGAGGAUGAUCAGCCACACUGGAACUGAGACACGGUCCAGACUCCUACGGGAGGCAGCAGUGGGGAAUAUUGGACAGUGGGCGCAAGCCUGAUCCAGCCAUACCGCGUGGGUGAAGAAGGCCUUCGGGUUGUAAAGCCCUUUUGUUGGGAAAGAAAUCUUUCAGGCUAAUACCCUGGGAGGAUGACGGUACCCAAAGAAUAAGCACCGGCUAACUUCGU